CUACCGGCGGCUGCAGUGGGGAAUAUUGCACAAUGGACGAAAGUCUGAUGCAGCAACGCCGCGUGGAGGAUGACACAUUUCGGUGCGUAAACUCCUUUUAUAUAGGAAGGUAAUGACGGUACUAUAUGAAUAAGCACCGGCUAACUCCGUGCCAGCAGCCGCGGUAAUACGGAGGGUGCAAGCGUUACUCGGAAUCACUGGGCGUAAAGAGCGUGUAGGCGGGUUAAUAAGUUGGAAGUGAAAUCCUAUGGCUCAACCAUAGAACUGCUUCCAAAACUGUUAACCUAGAAUAUGGGAGAGGUAGAUGGAAUUUCUGGUGUAGGGGUAAAAUCCGUAGAGAUCAGAAGGAAUACCGAUUGCGAAGGCGAUCUACUGGAACAUUAUUGACGCUGAGACGCGAAAGCGUGGGGAGCAAACAGGAUUAGAUACCCGGGUAGUC
rnacentral:rRNA from 1 species